AGUUGCCAUCAUUCAGUUGGGCACUCGUAGCGAGACUGCCGGUAAUAAACCGGAGGAAGUGGGAUGACGUCAAAUCAUCAUGCCCCUUAUGACCUGGGCUACGACACGUGCUACAAUGGUUGGUACAACGAGUUGCGAGUCGGUGACGGCGAGCUAAUCUCUUAAAGCCAAUCUCAGUUCGGAUUGUAGGCUGCAACUCGCCUACAUGAAGUCGGAAUCGCUAGUAAUCGCGGAUCAGCACGCCGCGGUGAAUACGUUCCCGGGCCUU
rnacentral:rRNA from 1 species